rnacentral:ncRNA from 1 species
CGCUUAUCAAGAGAGGUUAAGGGACUGGCCCGAAGACGCCUCAGCAACCAGCCAAUCAGGUAUGGUGCUAAAUCCAGUAGACAUUUUUGUCUAGCAGAUAAGAA